CUUUUUGCUAUCCACUGAAGCCUGAGAUUCGAACCUGCCGCAGGUUCGAGCCGAACGCCAGUGAGGCAACGCAGCCGCUACGCGGCGACGCCCGAAGGGCGAGGCGAAGCCGAGUCAUCCUGCACGACCCACCA
rnacentral:sRNA from 1 species